GCCGGGCGUAGUGGCGGGCACCUGUAAUCCCAGUUACUCGGGAGGCUGAGGCAGGAGAAUCACUUGAGCCCAGGAGGUGGAGGUUGCGGUCAGCCAAGAUCGCACCACUCCAGCCUGGGCGACAGAGCGAGACUCUGUCUCAA
rnacentral:SRP_RNA from 1 species